rnacentral:rRNA from 1 species
GGUUAAAAAGCUCGUAGUUGGAUCUCGGCAAGUAGAGGGCGGUAUGCUUCGUAGCAUUACUGCCCUAUUACUUGUAGUUUUGCCAGAGGUUCCUGGGUGCUCUUAAUCGAGUGUCUAGGGAUGCUGGCAGGUUUACUUUGAAAAAAUUAGAGUGCUCAAAGCAGGCUAUUACGCUUGAAUAUUCGUGCAUGGAAUAAUAGAAUAGGAAGUUGUUUCUAUUUUGUUGGUUUUCGGAAAUCGACUUAAUGAUUAAUAGGGACAGUCGGGGGCAUUUGUAUUCAAACGACAGAGGUGAAAUUCUUGGACCGUUUGAAGACAAACUACUGCGAAAGCAUUUGCCAAGAAUGUUUUCAUUAAUCAAGAACGAAAGUUAGAGGUUCGAAGGCGAUUAGAUACCGCCCUAGUUCUAACCAUAAACGAUGCCAGCUAGCGAUCUGAGGACGUUUUUUUUGUAGACUCCUCAGGAAGCUUCCGGGAAACCAAAGCGUGUGGGUUCCGGGGGAGGUAUGGUUGCAAAGCUGAAACUUAAAGGAAUUGACGGAAGGGCACCACCAGGAGUGGAGCCUGCGGCUUAAUUUGACUCAACACGGGAAAUCUCACCAGGCCCGGACACUGGAAGGAUUGACAGAUUGAGAGCUCUUUCUCGAUUCGGUGGGGUGGUGGUGCAUGGCCG